AUGGAACGCUGGCGGCAGGCCUAACACAUGCAAGUCGAGCGGGGUUUUCGGACCUAGCGGCGGACGGGUGAGUAAUGCGUAGGAAGCUACCCGAUAGAGGGGGAUACCAGUUGGAAACGACUGUUAAUACCGCAUAAUGUCUACGGACCAAAGUGUGGGACCUUCGGGCCACAUGCUAUCGGAUGCGCCUACGUGGGAUUAGCUAGUUGGUGAGGUAAUGGCUCACCAAGGCGACGAUCCCUAGCUGGUUUGAGAGGAUGAUCAGCCACACUGGAACUGAGACACGGUCCAGACUCCUACGGGAGGCAGCAGUGGGGAAUAUUGGACAAUGGGCGCAAGCCUGAUCCAGCCAUGCCGCGUGUGUGAAGAAGGCCUUCGGGUUGUAAAGCACUUUCAGUAGGGAGGAAGCGUUGAGUGUUAAUAGUACUCAGCGUUGACGUUACCUACAGAAGAAGCACCGGCUAACUCUGUGCCAGCCGCCGCCGUAACAC
rnacentral:rRNA from 1 species